GUCCUUUCAAAGAUCAAGUGGUGCUAUCUGAUGGUUGAUGAAGCACACAGGUUAAAAAAUAGUGAAGCACAGUUGUAUACAACACUUUCGGAAUUUAGCACCAAGAACAAGUUGUUGAUUACUGGUACUCCAUUACAGAACAGUGUGGAAGAGUUG